GACGAACGCUGGCGGCGUGCUUAACACAUGCAAGUCGAACGGAAAGGCCCUGCUUUUGUGGGGUGCUCGAGUGGCGAACGGGUGAGUAACACGUGAGUAACCUGCCCUUGACUUUGGGAUAACUUCAGGAAACUGGGGCUAAUACCGGAUAGGAGCUCCUGCUGCAUGGUGGGGGUUGGAAAGUUUCGGCGGUUGGGGAUGGACUCGCGGCUUAUCAGCUUGUUGAUGGGGUAGUGGCUUACCAAGGCUUUGACGGGUAGCCGGCCUGAGAGGGUGACCGGCCACAUUGGGACUGAGAUACGGCCCAGACUCCUACGGGAGGCAGCAGUGGGGAAUAUUGCACAAUGGGCGGAAGCCUGAUGCAGCAACGCCGCGUGCGGGAUGACGGCCUUCGGGUUGUAAACCGCUUUCGCCUGUGACGAAGCGUGAGUGACGGUAAUGGGUAAAGAAGCACCGGCUAACUACGUG
rnacentral:rRNA from 1 species